UCUUUCUUCCCAUCCCCCGCCAAAUAGUUGGAAGGGAGCAAACCACCUACUUCGGUUAGCUUCACCCUGAAGCCCACAAAACUAAGGCGGGGCGGGAACCUAAACUUGGAGUUGUGUCUGAUGUUCUGUGGAUCAGUAGAAAAACAUUCAAAGCACGAUACUAAUUGAUAUUGGGAGAGAAGGGUGUUCUCAUCUCUACUUGCAAGAAAGUGCAUUCAGUGCCCCUCUAAAGGACAAUACUUCACGGGUGACUGUACAGCUAAACUGAACUCUUAUACUGCAGUUGUACCAUGGGGUGU